rnacentral:rRNA from 1 species
CAAAGGAAUUGACGGGGACCCGGCCCAACCGGUGGAGCAUGUGGGUUUAAUUCGAAAGCAACGCGAAGAACCUUACCAAAUCUUGACAUCCUUUGACAACUUUAGAGAUAGAGUCUUUCCCCUUUCGGGGGACAAAAGUGACAGGUGGUGCAUGGUUGUCGUCAGCUUCGUGUCGUAAGAUGUUGGGUUAAGUCCCGCAACGAGCGCAACCCUUAAGCUUAGUUGCCAGCAUUAAAGUUGGGCACUCUAAGUUGACUGCCGGUGACAAACCGGAGGAAGGUGGGGAUGACGUCAAAUCAUCAUGCCCCCUAUGAUUUGGGCUACACACGUGGCUACAAUGGACAAUACAAAGGGCAGCUAAACCGCGAGGUCAUGCAAAUCCCAUAAAGUUGUUCUCAGUUCGGAUUGUAGUCUGCAACUCGACUACAUGAAGCUGGAAUCGCUAGUAAUCGUAGAUCAGCAUGCUACGGUGAAUACGUUCCCGGGUCUUGUACACACCGCCCGUCACACCACGAGAGUCUGUAACACCCGAAGCCGGUGGAGUAACCAUUUAUGGAGCUAGCCGUCGAAGGUGGGACAAAUGAUUGGGGUGAAGUCGUAACAAGGUAGCCGUAUCGGAAGGUGCGGAUGGAUCACCUCCUU